GUGCAGAUGAUGGAAACACGUUUCAACUGAGCCCACUGAUGCUUUCAAAGGAACCACUGAUGCAC